rfam:Strongylocentrotus purpuratus Contig52614_fixed, whole genome shotgun sequence.
AUAACUGUUCCGAAGAUGAAAUAUUAUUAAUAAAUCUGUUCUUUUUAGCUUAACAUCUGGAAUGCAACUCACCGAGUCGCUUAUAUAAUAAACUGAUUUUUUAAUCUAGACCAUGGAAUAGGGCGGGGGGGGGGCUUGCUCCAUCCUGGUCGCAGGCUGGCCCGGUAUUGCAGUACUUCCGGGAUCGGCUAACCCUUC